CACGCACGCCAAUAUUCCUUGUCGGUCAUCGCCAUAAACCUCCGAGUUAAAAACAAGUGUUCCUCUUUCCUUCCAUUCCCAUUUCUCCUAAAAAAAGAUCGAACUUCCUCCAGAGAACUCUGAAAUAAAAAAUCAGAGUGAAAGAAAGCUACAGUAAUUCAAUAAUGGUUGAUGUAGCAGAUAAAUUAGCGUAUUUUCAAGCAAUUACAGGCCUUGAAGAUCCCGAUUUAUGCACCCAGAUCCUCCAAGCCCAUAAUUGGGACCUCGAACUCGCCAUCUCCUCUUUCACCUCUAAUCACAAUAAUGACCCCCUUUCUUACUCCUCAUCCACCGCCACCGCCACCGCCACCGCCACCACAUCCACCGUCGUCGAACCACCCAUUUCACCCAUUCAUCGUUCCGAUUCCACCUCCAUCGCUCCCGUGGCUGCUCCUCCUCCUGGUUUGGGCUGGAAAAUAAUUACUUUACCAAUCUCAAUCGUUUCUGGUAGUUUACGGUUAAUUUCUGGUGCUGUUGGGUUUGGAUUUUGGGCUGCUGGUAGUAUCUUCUCUUAUUCAUUAGGUUUUAUUGGGUUUGGCUCGAAUUCGGACCGGGGUGGGGAUUCUUCGGCGCAAUUGGUAACUGCUUCCGCCGCGUCGAGAGAAGCCUUGGAGUUUAUUGCUCAAUUUGAGAGGGAUUAUGGUGGUUCUGGUUCUUCUAGUAGGCCGAAUUUUGUUGGUGAAGGAUUUAUGGAUGCGUUGACGAGGUCGAGGAAUAGUUUUAAGUUGUUGUUUGUGUAUUUGCAUUCCCCGGAUCAUCCUGAUACGCCCGCGUUUUGUGAGGGGACGUUGUGUUCGGAGGUUUUUAGCGCGUUUGUUAAUGAGAAUUUUGUUGCGUGGGGUGGGAGUCUUAGAGGGAGUGAGGGGUUUAAGAUGAGUAAUAGUUUGAAGGCUUCAAGGUUUCCGUUUUGUGCUGUUGUUAUGCCUGCUACAAAUCAGAGGAUUGCGUUGCUUCAACAGGUUGAGGGUCCAAAAUCUCCUGAAGAAAUGCUCAUGACACUACAGAGAGUUCUUGAAGAAAGUGCCCCGGUUCUUGUUGCAGCAAGACUUGAAGCGGAGGAGAGAACAACAAACAUGCGUUUGAGGGAGGAGCAAGAUGCUGCAUACAGAGCAGCACUUGAAGCCGAUCAAGCUAGGGAACGACAACUGAGAGAAGAACAAGAACGUCUGGAAAGGGAGGCUGCUGAGGCAGAGAGAAAGCGCAAGGAGGAAGAAGAGGCUCAGGAGAGAGCAACACGUGAGGCUGCAGAAAAAGAGGCGGCUCUGGCAAGAAUGCGGCAGGAGAAAGCCUUGUCGCUUGGUGCUGAACCUGAAAAGGGACCUAAUGUUACACAAGUUUUGGUUCGAUUUCCAACUGGAGAACGCAAAGAGAGGAGAUUCCACAGUACAGCCACUAUCCAGUCCCUGUAUGAUUAUGUUGAUUCUUUGGGUUGCUUAGAUGUUGAGAAUUACAGUCUUGUCUCAAACUUUCCCCGAGUUGUCUAUGGUACAGAUAAGCUCUCUCUAUCUUUAAAAGAAGCAGGUUUGCACCCUCAAGCCAGCCUUUUUGUGGAGCUGAACUAGAGCAAUGUAAUGCCAAGUUGAGCUAUCAAGAGCAGUCAGAAGCAGGACCAUCAAGUGGGCUUCUGUUAACUGCUGUUGCUGGUUUCCGUGAACUGUAGUUUUUGACUUGCUGCUAAUGGCACCUACAUUGCCUUUGUCUCCCCUUUCUAUAAGAUUCUUAAGCUUGUAUGUCUGAUAGUUUCGGAAACGGACAUCAAGCUGUUUUAAUUUUUUGCAACUCUCUUUAACAGUAGCACUAAUUUAUUUUAUAAAGAUUUAAAUAUUUAGAGAUUA